rnacentral:rRNA from 1 species
UUAGAGUUUGAUCAUGGCUCAGGAUGAACGCUAGCGGCAGGCUUAACACAUGCAAGUCGAGGGCAGCAUGACGGAACCUUCGGGUUUUGUUGAUGGCGACCGGCGCAAGGGUGCGUAACGGUGAGCAACUUGCCCGUUUCAGGGGGAUAACCGGUGGAAACGCCGACUAAUACCCCAUGGAUCAUAUUCAGGCAUCUUUAUAUGAUUAAAGAAUUUCGGAAACGGAUAGGCUCGCGUGACUUAGCUAGAUGGCGGGGUAACGGCCCACCAUGGCGACGAUGUCUAGGGGUUCUGAGAGGAGGUCCCCCACACUGGAACUGAGACACGGUCCAGACUCCUACGGGAGGCAGCAGUGAGGAAAUUGGUCAAUGGCCGAGAGGCUGAACCAGCCAUGCCGCGUGAAGGUCACGGCCCUAUGGGCUUAAACUUCUUUUGUAAGGGAGCAAUAAGGUUCACGUGUGGACUGAUGAGAGUACCUUAGAAUAAGCAUCGGCUAACUCCGUGCCAGCAGCCGCGGUAAUACGGGGGAUGCAAGCGUUACCGGAUUUAUUGGGUUUAAAGGGUGCGUAGGCGGCGUCUUAAGUCAGCGGUGAAAUUUAGGGCUCAACCUCUACC